rnacentral:ncRNA from 1 species
GAUUGCAUUUUUAACCUCUCUGCAAUCGCGGCUG